GCGGGGUUUCAGUCGGGCCGGGACGGCCGCGGGCGCGUGUGUGAGCCGGGGACAGAAGGAGAGGCGGCGCCAGAAGACUGCUUCUGUGCAGUGGUCAUGGCGAUACCCUACAAACCCAAGGCGACCGAAAGUGAUGCUGCAUCUUCAACGACUGGAGAGUCAGGAGCCGAUCCGAUUGAUACUUCUUCGGAACCGACGGCGGAAAAAGACGAGACGUCGAACACCGAGAAUGGGACGAGCGCCACCACCAGACUCGAGGAGACUGAUGCAGCUACAGCAGACAUCAGGAAAAGAACGACGACGACCACCAGACUCGAGGAGACUGAUGCAGCUACAGCAGACAUCAGGAAAGGAACGACGACAACCACCAGACUCGAGGAUACUGAGGCAGCUGCCAUAGACACCGAGACGGGAACACCCACCUCCAACGACCCCACACAGGCUGAGACAUCCGCGGCGGAUAUCAAGACCGAAACCACCGCCCCAGAUCCCAUACUUGAGGAGCAGGCUGAAGCAACUACAGCAGAGACCGAGACCGGGACGACCGCCCCAGACCCCAGUCUCGGGGAGGAGGCCGAGACGGCUGUGACGGACACCGAGAGCGGAACGACAGCUACCAAUGAUCCCGGACUCGAGGAGACUGACGCGGCUGCGGCGGAUAUCGAAACCGGAGCCACCGCCCCCGACCCCAGUCUCGGGGAGGAGGCUGAGACGGCUGUGACGGACACCGAGACCGGAACGACAACUAGCAAUGGCCCCGGACUCGAAGAUACCGAGACAGCUGCGGCAGAUAUCGAGACCACAACGACGACCACCAGCGAACCUGGACUCGGGGAGGAGGCUGAGAAAGAAGCUACAGCAGGCACCGAGACCGGAACCACGGCCCCAGAUCCCGUUCAGGCUGAAAUGACUGGUGCGAACACCGAGACCGGAACCACUGCUCCAGACUCCAGACUCCAGGAGGAGGCUGAAGCAGCUACAGCACACACCGAGAUUGGGACCAACACCCCAGACCCCGGGCUCGGGCAGACUGAGGCAGCUGCCACCGAUAUCGAGACAGUGAAAACUAGACUCGAGCGGGAGACGGAGUCAGAGGCGGUGGGCGUCGGGACUCCGAGAACCAUUGCCAACGCCGGUAACAGAGAAGACAACAGGGUUGAAAAAUCCACUACCGACCUCGGCCCUGAGGAGGGUACAGAGGCUGACGAGACUGAACCUCGACCUGAAGAUAGCACAGAGGCGACUGUAGCAAACGGCAGACCGCCAACGGCAGGAACAGCGACGAAAGAGUGCGCGCCGAGUGCGUCCCAUCGACAGCUAUCAUCUGAUGCAUCCACCGACUCACUGGUUAGGGAUCCAGAAACCAGGAGAACAAGCCCUGAUAAUCAGCCACCGGCUGCUCCCGAGCUGUGUCCAGGGAGCGGACCAGCAGCUGGCGAGGAGCCGUCCGAGAGCGGGCUGGGCGCGGGCGCCACCGGGAGCGACACGGAGCUGCGCUACCUGGCCGUUAUGGUGCAGCUGGAGCAGCUGGCCAAGCUGCUGGACGAGUCGGCGUUCCAGUUUGCCAACGCGCCAGCCGGGGAUACCGCAGAGAGUACAGCAGCUGCGGUGGAGGAUACAGAAGGGAAGAAUGCAAACGUGAAUGACAUUGAGACGAAUGAUACUGAUGAUAUCGAGGUGAACGGCAUUCAUGGGAAUGGUAUUCAUUCGGAUACUGCUGAGGCGAAUGGAGCUGAUGCAAAUGGUAUGAGCGUGGACAAUGUCGCUGCGAAAAAUACCGAAGCAAAAGCCAAUGCAGAACAAGUCGAGGGAAAGGAUACGGAGAUGAGGAAUGGAAGGAUGAGGGCGGCAGAGGCGAGCGCUGCUGAGGUCAACGAAGGAGAGGCGAAUGUCACGGAGGUCAAGGAUGCAGAGGUGGAGGAUGCAGAGGUGAGAGAUGCAGAAGCGAAGGUUGCAGAGGUGCAGGAUCCAGAUUUGAGAGAUGCAGAGGCGAAUUCUGCCAAAGUGAAUGGAGCAGAGGUGAAUGCUGCCGAGCCAAGUAAUGUCGAGGUAGCUGGUGCCGAGGCGAAUGGCGCCGAUUUCAACGGCACUGAGGUGAAUGCCGCCAACAGAAAGGAAACUGAGAUGAAUGGUAGUGCUGAGAAAGAUGUCGAAUCUGAGGAUAUCGAGGCAAAGAACAACUGUGCAAGCGGUACCGCUGGAAGCUCUACCAAAGUUAAUGGAGCAAAGGUCUUGAGUACCGAGCAAAAUGCUGCCCUUACCGAUCCAAAAGCAGCAGCUGAGCUGAAGAGGAACCGCACCAGAUACGCCGAACUGACCGCCCUCCUAGCAGCCGCUUGUAUUCACCUGGAGGGCCGUACUCCGUGGUCCGUGAACUUCAAGAUCGAGCGGCUGCCCCUGCCGAUCGGCCAGCCGCCGAGAGCGUUCCGUCCGCCACCGGGGUACGAGCUGCUGCCCCCGCUGGUGUGGCCCGUCUCCGCGCAGCUGGAGCGCUGGGCCGCCAGGCCAGUCGAGGUCUCCAGGCCUCCAUCAGAGGACCGGGCGCGGCCUGACGGAGCACCGACGGAGCGCAGAGCGAGAGGUUCGGGUGACGACACCGGCACACAACCAGAACUGGACGAUACAGGCUCAAAGCCAACCGGCGGUGCGAGGAGGAAGACCUGUGUUGAAAAGAAAUCUCAAAGUAAGUCCGUGCCCACAAGUCAGGUACCAGUGAGACGGAAUGGAACAAGCAAUGGUAACCACAGUCUAUCCAAAGAAUCACUCUCCCACGGAGCCGCAGAGCUCGAGCCUACGCAGAGCUCCACGGCCGCAUCCCCAGCUUCCUACGCAUCAGACCGCCUCACCCACGGGCGUGCGUCACCCAGGCAGCUGAGGGCAGUUCUGUCAGCCUUCCAGCGACGUAGUCGGGCCACCUGCGCGGCUCUGGCGCGGCGCAGACGGCCUCCAGACGAUCCCGUACCCUGGGAGCGCCCCUGCACUGUGGAGGAGCGGCAGCGGCGCGACGCAGCCUGGUGGCGGCGGCAGGUGCAGCGGGACGUCCGGUACGGUGACCGGGUCGGCCACUGGUUCGACAGGAGGUUCGAGCGAGGAGACGUGCUCUUCGACCCGCCGCCGCCGACAAACUACACAGGUUUCUCCACCGCCCGAGCGUCCGACUUCAAGUCGCUGGAUCCAGAGCAGUUCAGCCGAAGCAUGGGUGUUCCACUGGGGUUCCUUUGGGACCGUAAGAGCGUCGACCGCAACUGCCAGAACCCUCAGGGAGCAGUAGGCGUCCCCAAAGUCCAGCGUCCAAGCAGCGCUACAGCUCGGGGCGCCGCAUCGGAGGCCGGACAGAACCCUGGUAAUGCUCGUCGGGUAGCUGCCAAGAACAAGAAACAGACCAGAGCGGCACCUGCUGCUGCUCCUAGCAUGGCAGCAUCAGACGCCGGUAGCGCGACACCAAAGAAGCUCCGUGAGGAUGACCGAGAAAACAGAGUUGAGGCGAAGACUGCCAGCGGAAGCAGAAGCCCAGAUGGCGAGCAAGAUAGGGACGGCGAACGUCUGGACGCUGUCGAGGAGAUGAGGGUGAGGGUGAUGGAAGAGUUCACGGAGCGGCAUCUUCGGCUGGGUGGGUCUCUGACCGACAUUCUGGACGUGGUGGACAGCCCGCAGAAGCUGGCCAACGCCGCUUUGGAGAAGGGGAAAACGGACAGCGAUGUUGUCGAAAAGAAAGCCGUGGAAAGGGGAAUCCCUGUCCGCGAAACGGGUGAAAAAGACGAGGAUGACACUGACAGGACGAACAGUGCUGUUCGCAGGCAGCCAAAACGAAAACUUGACGAAGCUCAAGACACGAGUGAGACGACUGACACCGAAGAUGGGAAUGCUUGCGCUGCUGGAGGACACGACGUCAAGAGUGACGACAGCAGCGGCAUAGCUAGGGAAGGGACCACGUCUCACGGAGCGAGUGAAGCCUCUCUGAAAGUCAGCGUCACGAUGGCCGGGAACACGGACGAGGUGGCCGUCCUGGAGGCCACGGCCAUGGAGCUGGACGAGGAGAGGGUGUUCGGUGGCGUUCACCAGACCGACCACUUCGAGUCGAUGCUGAGCGACAUCGACGACCGCAUGAAGCAGGCGUGUCGGAGCAGCGAGCAGCUGCGGCUGGAGAGCGGCAGCGUCACCGGCGACGUGGAGCAGGUGCGACAGGCGCUGCCGCAGAUGGACCAGAUGUUCGCCUCGCUACAGAGCAUCUCCGCCGCCGUCCUCUCGGCGGCGCGCGCCAAGGAGGCUGGUGACAGACGAGAGACACCCGAGGGAGAGGACGCGGUGAAAUUUCCGGCGUCAGAGUCCAAGCCCGCCGAUAUGCCCAAAAAGUCGUCCAGGAAGAAGAAAGGUGGCCGCAAACUCCAAGCACAGACGAGCGAUGCUGCAGCUUCAAAGCAGGACAAGAAUGGCCCGGAUCGGCGUGUUAACAUGGACUCCAGCCCAAAUGACGAAGCCAGUGCAUCACCGAAGCUGAAAACCAACACCCAAUCAUCCCCACCAGCCAGCUCAGGCGCCAAGCCCAGGAAAAAGUCCACCAGGCGCACCACCAAGUCCUCCUCCUCCACGCCAGCCGAGCCGCGGGUGGAGGUCGCGGAGGCGGACUCGACCAGCGAGUACCCGUGCCUGGUGGGGCCGCUGGAGCUGCGGCCCGUGGAGGGCAUCCCGCCGCGGGGCACCUACGUGGCGCAGCACAAACACCUGCUGCAGCCGGCCGAGAGCGAGUUCGCGCGCUGUCUGACCGGCGAGGAGCGCACCGACCUGCUCAGCCCCCUGGGGCGGCUCGCGCUGGCCAUGCCGCAACGGUUCAUGUCCUCCAAACAGCUGCUGGAGGUGCACGAGCUGCUGCAGAGCCAGGGCUGCGCCGACGACCCGCGCGCCAUCGAGGCGCUGCUCCGGGUGGAGAGGUCGGCCGGCGACCACAUCUCCACCGUCCACCAGUUCUUCCAGCUCGGCUGCGACCGGCGCUACCACCACGUCGAGCUGCGCGGCAAGCCGAUGGCCUUCAGCAAGAUCGUCAGCUGCGACAUGCUCGCAUUUCUCCGCGAGAACCAGUGUGGCCGGCGCUGGUCAGCCCCAACACGUUUCUCUCUGGCCGGGGCAGCGGAGACGGUAUUGCGCCCAAUGCGUUCCGGACAUACGCCGAGAUCGAGAGUCACAUCGAAGUGGGCGAUAUGGUUAGGGUGAGCGGGAUCACGGCGUACAUCCGGACGGUGGUGCGCCACCUGUGCCAAGGCCUGGUGUGCCGGCUCGAGCGGCGACCGGUCAGCUGCGCAGAGGAGAAGGAGGCCGUCUCCAGCCUGGUCUUGGUGCUGCUGCACCGGAUGCAGGAGGCCACCCACGAGCCCGCCGGGAUCGUCAUGGUGUACGCUCUGCACAACGACAGCCUUCUGGAGGGCGAGAUGCGCCACACGAACCGGUACGUGAAGCUGCGCUGUGAGAGCCACGCCGCGCUGGUCGGCUGCAGCAGCUGGAGCUGCCGGCUCUGGCUCUGGAUGCUCUUCGAGACGUGCAGACUGACUGUCGAGGGGGAGACGCAGUUCGCGCAGAUGAUCUACCAUCAGCAGAGGGUAAAGGAGGAGGAAGAACGCCAGUCACCCCGCCGGGGUGCCGCGAACCGCAAACCGCGACACUAGGGGCGGCUCAAGGGCGAAGGGCGACUCAGGGCACAGCGCACCUUCCUGAAAGACGUCUUUGGGGGCGGAGCUGGAGGAUUAAGGUUAAACUUCAAUGCCGAAUAGUGGAUCGUAGUUAUGAUAAGGCGGUCAUUAAAGUGUUGUAUCGAUUUUAAUUUAUUAGAAAAUGCGUCCAUCCAGUGGCUAGUUUUAUGGUCAGCAUUAUUUUAUCAAAUCAACGCUCUUCAGCAGUGAGUGAAGGAUAUGAGAGACACCGCUGGAAAGUGUUGUAAGAUUGUAAGCGAGGCUGUGAAACAUUUUUCAUCCGCGGCAUCUUCAUUCCCUUAGAACGGCUUCAUUUGUAACCGACAGGAUUCGACGACGCGGCAUGGUAUUGUGUCCUGUUUUAUGCCUCGUGUCAUAUCAUAAAUACAUUUCGAGUUACAUGCUA
rnacentral:misc_RNA from 1 species